UACUAUCAGUGUCCUUUACUGGUGGUAA
rnacentral:sRNA from 1 species